rnacentral:rRNA from 1 species
GGUAUCAGAAGUGCGAAUGCUGACAUAAGUAACGAUAAAGCGGGUGAAAAGCCCGCUCGCCGGAAGACCAAGGGUUCCUGUCCAACGUUAAUCGGGGCAGGGUGAGUCGACCCCUAAGGCGAGGCCGAAAGGCGUAGUCGAUGGGAAACGGGUUAAUAUUCCCGUACUUGGUGUUACUGCGAAGGGGGGACGGAGAAGGCUAUGUUGGCCGGGCGACGGUUGUCCCGGUUUAAGCGUGUAGGUGUGUGUUCCAGGUAAAUCCGGUUCACUUUAACACUGAGGCGUGACGACGAGGCACUACGGUGCUGAAGCAACAAAUGCCCUGCUUCCAGGAAAAGCCUCUAAGCAUCAGGUAACAUCAAAUCGUACCCCAAACCGACACAGGUGGUCAGGUAGAGAAUACCAAGGCGCUUGAGAGAACUCGGGUGAAGGAACUAGGCAAAAUGGUGCCGUAACUUCGGGAGAAGGCACGCUGAUAUGUAGGUGAAGCGGUUUACCCGUGGAGCUGAAAUCAGUCGAAGAUACCAGCUGGCUGCAACUGUUUAUUAAAAACACAGCACUGUGCAAACACGAAAGUGGACGUAUACGGUGUGACGCCUGCCCGGUGCCGGAAGGUUAAUUGAUGGGGUCAGCGCAAGCGAAGCUCCUGAUCGAAGCCCCGGUAAACGGCGGCCGUAACUAUAACGGUCCUAAGGUAGCGAAAUUCCUUGUCGGGUAAGUUCCGACCUGCACGAAUGGCGUAAUGAUGGCCAGGCUGUCUCCACCCGAGACUCAGUGAAAUUGAACUCGCUGUGAAGAUGCAGUGUACCCGCGGCAAGACGGAAAGACCCCGUGAACCUUUACUAUAGCUUGACACUGAACAUUGAGCCUUGAUGUGUAGGAUAGGUGGGAGGCUUUGAAGCGUGGACGCCAGUCUGCGUGGAGCCGACCUUGAAAUACCACCCUUUAAUGUUUGAUGUUCUAACGUGGACCCGUAAUCCGGGUUGCGGACAGUGUCUGGUGGGUAGUUUGACUGGGGCGGUCUCCUCCUAAAGAGUAACGGAGGAGCACGAAGGUUGGCUAAUCCUGGUCGGACAUCAGGAGGUUAGUGCAAUGGCAUAAGCCAGCUUGACUGCGAGCGUGACGGCGCGAGCAGGUGCGAAAGCAGGUCAUAGUGAUCCGGUGGUUCUGAAUGGAAGGGCCAUCGCUCAACGGAUAAAAGGUACUCCGGGGAUAACAGGCUGAUACCGCCCAAGAGUUCAUAUCGACGGCGGUGUUUGGCACCUCGAUGUCGGCUCAUCACAUCCUGGGGCUGAAGUAGGUCCCAAGGGUAUGGCUGUUCGCCAUUUAAAGUGGUACGCGAGCUGGGUUUAGAACGUCGUGAGACAGUUCGGUCCCUAUCUGCCGUGGGCGCUGGAGAACUGAGGGGGGCUGCUCCUAGUACGAGAGGACCGGAGUGGACGCAUCACUGGUGUUCGGGUUGUCAUGCCAAUGGCACUGCCCGGUAGCUAAAUGCGGAAGAGAUAAGUGCUGAAAGCAUCUAAGCACGAAACUUGCCCCGAGAUGAGUUCU